UUGUUUAUUUUUAUUCAUUGCGUUACAUGUUUGAAUGGUUUUUGGUGCAUUGAUUUUUGUUUAUUUAAAAAUCAUUUUGAGGAGAAGGUGUUUGGGAAUUUCAAAAUCUUUGAGAAAGAAGAUGAUUGAGAAUCGUUUUUUGGAGAGAAAGUUUUUUUUUUAAGAAAAAAUUGUUUAAACGGGUUUUAUCUUCACAAUCAUAUUAAGUUAAAUUCAUAUUAAUUAUCGUCUUUACUCCACUAUUUAUUAUUUUGACGAUAAUUUAUUAUAUGAUUUCUUAUUGCAUAAAUUCAUCAAAAUUUUGAAAUAAAAUUUGAUUUUUUGGUGAUUAAUUCAUCUUGAUUGUGAGUGUUGGAUAUGAUGAAUGGGUAUUCUCUAAUUGACUAAAAUUCGUCAAACUUUUUUCAAUUGUGAGAUUGCCUAAUUUAGGGGGAGCUUGAAAUUAAAAAGGAGAAAAAGAAACUCCUAUGUUUAAAAGAUGUGGAAAGAGUUACAUCCAAAAGGAGUGUGAAAACUACCACCACAUGUAGGAAAGAGCUACCACCCCGGUCGUCCGGCAAGUGUGUGAAGCUACCACAUGGAAUUUAAUUGAAAAAAGCCGAAAAAGGUUGGAAAAAUAUAAAUAUUUUAGAAUUUUUCGAGUAAUAAGGUGUUAGUUUGAAAAAGAUGCUCAAAGAGCCACCCCCGGUAUCAUAUUGGUUAAAUCUCUAUUUUGAACAUGUUACGACAAAUUGGUGUCAAUUUUAUUGAAUUUCUAUAAAUCAUUUUUCAUCAACUUACAUCUUGAUGUUUUUAAAUUAUUAAAUCAUUUUUGAUAAUGAAAUUUUGAUGUUUUGAUGGAUUUUGAAAUUUUAUAAUAUAUUAUUUUCAUUAUAAUAAUUUUUGGAGUAAAAUCUUUAAUUUAUAUGAAAUUAAUUCAAUUUGAUGGAUUUUUAAAAUCAGAUUUUUGAAAUCUGGCAAAGUGUACCGGUACAAAAUCCCGUGUACCGGUACAAAUCACUGUAGCCGCGGAAAUAUAACCGGUUACAGAGUUUUAUUUCUCACUCUAAUCUAAACCAAAUUUCGCUCUUUCUCUCUCUAAAAAUUUCUGGUGCCUUCCUCUUCCAGAUCUACACGUUUUUCCCUAAAA
rnacentral:lncRNA from 1 species